rnacentral:rRNA from 1 species
ACGAAGGGGGCGAGCGUUGUUCGGAUUUACUGGGCGUAAAGGGCGCGCAGGCGGCCAUUCAAGUCAGGCGUGAAAGCCCCGGGCUUAACCUGGGAGGUGCGCUUGGGACUGGGUGGCUAGAGAUCGGGAGAGGAGAGUGGAAUUCCCAGUGUAGAGGUGAAAUUCGUAGAUAUUGGGAAGAACACCGGUGGCGAAGGCGAGUCCCUGGACAACUCCUGACACUGAGGCACGAAAGCUAGGGGAGCAAACAGGA